AUCGAACGCUGGCGGCAGGCCUAACACAUGCAAGUCGGACGGUAGCACAGAGAGCUUGCUCUUGGGUGACGAGUGGCGGACGGGUGAGUAAUGUCUGGGGAUCUGCCCGAUAGAGGGGGAUAACCACUGGAAACGGUGGCUAAUACCGCAUAACGUCGCAAGACCAAAGAGGGGGACCUUCGGGCCUCUCACUAUCGGAUGAACCCAGAUGGGAUUAGCUAGUAGGCGGGGUAAUGGCCCACCUAGGCGACGAUCCCUAGCUGGUCUGAGAGGAUGACCAGCCACACUGGAACUGAGACACGGUCCAGACUCCUACGGGAGGCAGCAGUGGGGAAUAUUGCACAAUGGGCGCAAGCCUGAUGCAGCCAUGCCGCGUGUAUGAAGAAGGCCUUCGGGUUGUAAAGUACUUUCAGCGGGGAGGAAGGCGGUGCGGUUAAUAACCGUACCGAUUGACGUUACCCGCAGAAGAAGCACCGGCUAACUCCGUGCCAGCCGCCGCUGUAA
rnacentral:rRNA from 1 species